rnacentral:rRNA from 1 species
AUUGAACGCUGGCGGCAGGCCUAACACAUGCAAGUCGAGCGGAUGAAGGGAGCUUGCUCCUGGAUUCAGCGGCGGACGGGUGAGUAAUGCCUAGGAAUCUGCCUGGUAGUGGGGGAUAACGUCCGGAAACGGGCGCUAAUACCGCAUACGUCCUGAGGGAGAAAGUGGGGGAUCUUCGGACCUCACGCUAUCAGAUGAGCCUAGGUCGGAUUAGCUAGUUGGUGGGGUAAAGGCCUACCAAGGAGACGAUCCGUAACUGGUCUGAGAGGAUGAUCAGUCACACUGGAACUGAGACACGAUCCAGACUCCUACGGGAGGCAGCAGUGGGGAAUAUUGGACAAUGGGCGAAAGCCUGAUCCAGCCAUGCCGCGUGUGUGAAGAAGGUCUUCGGAUUGUAAAGCACUUUAAGUUGGGAGGAAGGGCAGUAAGUUAAUACCUUGCUGUUUUGACGUUACCAACAGAAUAAGCACCGGCUAACUUCGUG